UUUUUGGUGUAAUCUCUAAUUUCAGAAACUCCAGGUUCUAGUUUGAAAAUUCUGAUUUACAAGGGCUAUUCGACUCUUAGUUAUGGACUGUUGUUUGCUAUCUAAUUUUGGGUGAUUAUUGGUUGUUCUUUGAUUUAAAAUUGCAUGCAGUUUUUUGUCUAAUUGGGUGUUCAAUUUAGUCUUACGUUACUCUCGCUCGCUCAAACGACCCCCUUCUGCCUCUCUACUUCGCUCAAACGACUCCAUGGCUCUGGUGAACCUGGUCUCCGACUCUCUCUUGCUGAAACGUCUCCAUUGUUCUGGUAAAGCUGCAGCAGUAGCUCCGGUGACUCUCUCUCGCUAAAACGACUCCAUAAUACUCUCUGGAACUCGGGAUAGAGAGAAAAUACGAGGAGAAUCCAGAGGAUUUUGAGAGGUUUUACAAAGGGUUCUGGUUCCUCGCUUCUACAGGCUGCACUGGUGUAUGAGAAGACAAGAAUACUGAAAAGCGAUAUCGAAGUCUCUGAGAAAAAGCGAAGGAUAUUUACAAAUAUCCUUGAUGCAGUUAACAAGUUAGAUCUAAACAAAGGUGGCAGUUAGAUCAAGGAGGAAAAUUAACUGUUGUUUAAGAUAUUUGACAUAUUGUGAAUGUAAUAACAAUAUAAUGUUUUUGAGAUUAAUUUAUAGUAGUUAAAAAUGAUAUACGAUAAA